rnacentral:piRNA from 1 species
UGAUCAGGCACAAUGGAUUGGCCCCUAGC